AUUGAACGCUGGCGGCAUGCUUUACACAUGCAAGUCGAACGGUAACAGGGUGCUUGCACCGCUGACGAGUGGCGAACGGGUGAGUAAUGCGUCGGAACGUGCCGAGUAGUGGGGGAUAACGCAUCGAAAGGUGUGCUAAUACCGCAUACGUACUGAGGUAGAAAGUGGGGGACCUUCGGGCCUCACGCUAUUCGAGCGGCCGACGUCUGAUUAGCUAGUUGGUGAGGUAAAGGCUCACCAAGGCGACGAUCAGUAGCGGGUCUGAGAGGAUGAUCCGCCACACUGGGACUGAGACACGGCCCAGACUCCUACGGGAGGCAGCAGUGGGGAAUUUUGGACAAUGGGCGCAAGCCUGAUCCAGCCAUGCCGCGUGCCUGAAGAAGGCCUUCGGGUUGUAAAGGACUUUUGUCCGGGAGCAAAUGCCUGGUGUUAAUAGCACUGGGAGCUGAGAGUACCGGAAGAAUAAGCACCGGCUAACUACGUGCCAGCCGCCGCGGUAAUAC
rnacentral:rRNA from 1 species